AGUAAAAUUGCGGGGUAAUAUGAUAACUCUGAUUUUUAGAGGAAGUGCCAAACUGUUUUCCAAAGCAUCUGUACCAUUUUACAUUCCCACCAGCAAU
rnacentral:pre_miRNA from 1 species